rnacentral:rRNA from 1 species
GACGAACGCUGGCGGCGUGCCUAAUACAUGCAAGUAGAACGCUGAAGGAGGAGCUUGCUUCUCUGGAUGAGUUGCGAACGGGUGAGUAACGCGUAGGUAACCUGCCUGGUAGCGGGGGAUAACUAUUGGAAACGAUAGCUAAUACCGCAUAAGAGUAGAUGUCGCAUGACAUUUGCUUAAAAGGUGCAAUUGCAUCACUACCAGAUGGACCUGCGUUGUAUUAGCUAGUUGGUGAGGUAGCGGCUCACCAAGGCAACGAUACAUAGCCGACCUGAGAGGGUGAUCGGCCACACUGGGACUGAGACACGGCCCAGACUCCUACGGGAGGCAGCAGUAGGGAAUCUUCGGCAAUGGACGGAAGUCUGACCGAGCAACGCCGCGUGAGUGAAGAAGGUUUUCGGAUCGUAAAGCUCUGUUGUAAGAGAAGAACGAGUGUGAGAGUGGAAAGUUCACACUGUGACGGUAUCUUACCAGAAAGGGACGGCUAACUACGUG